rnacentral:rRNA from 1 species
UACGUAGGGUGCAAGCGUUAUCCGGAAUUAUUGGGCGUAAAGGGCGCGUAGGCGGCCUGGCAAGUGGAAGGUGAAAUCCCUCGGCUUAACCGAGGAACUGCCCUCCAAACUGCUUGGCUUGAGACCGGGAGAGGUGAGUGGAAUUCCCAGUGUAGCGGUGAAAUGCGUAGAUAUUGGGAGGAACACCAGUGGCGAAGGCGGCUCACUGGACCGGUACUGGACGCUGAGGCGCGAAAGCGUGGGGAGCAAACGGG